rnacentral:rRNA from 1 species
CUCAGGGAGGUAGUGACAAGAAAUAACAACACUGGAAAUUUUAUUUCUAGUGAUUGGAAUGAUGGGAAUUUAAACCCCUUUCAGAGUAACAAUUGGAGGGCAAGUCUGGUGCCAGCAGCCGCGGUAAUUCCAGCUCCAAUAGCGUAUAUUAAAGUUGUUGCAGUUAAAAAGCUCGUAGUUGGAUGUCUGCUGGAAGCAAUCAGUCCGCCCUAUUUGUAGGGUGUGCACUUGAUGAAUUCUGGCAUCUAUGUCCUAAUGUGAUAGAUACGGCGGUGUAUAUGGGUUAAUCCUAUAUACCCGUUUUUGUAUAUUAUAUUGGGAUAAUACCGUUACUUUGAGAAAAUUAGAGUGUUUGAAGCAGGCUAAUUGCCUUGAAUACUGCAGCAUGGAAUAACAAUAUAGGAUUUCGGUUCUAUUUUGUUGGUUUCUAGGACUGAAAUAAUGAUUAAUAGGGACAGUUGGGGGCAUUCGUACUUAACUGUCAGAGGUGAAAUUCUUAGAUUUGUUAAAGACGAACUACUGCGAAAGCAUUUGCCAAAGAUGUUUUCAUUAAUCAAGAACGAAAGUUAGGGGCUCGAAGACGAUCAGAUACCGUCGUAGUCUUAACCAUAAACUAUGCCGACUAGAGAUAGGAAAAUGUCAUUUUUCUGACUU